rnacentral:miRNA from 1 species
GGCGGAGAAACAGGGUCACAGAAGCUGGUCUGAGAUGUUCGAAAGGAGGUUGUCCGUGAUGUAUUUGCUUUGUUUGUGGCAGAUAUUGCACGGUUGAUCUCUUUUCAUCAUCAAAUGCCUUCUCGAAGGACUUGCUGCGCG